rnacentral:lncRNA from 1 species
CGUCUCGUUUCUUAAAGUUAAAAUAAUACAAAAAAGUAUUUCGUUUUAAAAUACGAGCCUAAUUGCUAACGAUUUUAUUAACAAAAAGUUUCAGAAUAUUUCUCGAAGAGAAAUUUAUUAAUUGAUCUUGAAACUAACGAAUGAAAUUUCAUUGCACGAAGUUAGAAGAUAGGAAAACAGAAGAGAGGAGAGAAAACCGCAGACUUUGAUAGUACAUAAAAUCGCAAAGAAUUAAAGGCCCCGAUGUCGGAUCACACCUUCGGGAUACGUGAGUGCAGAACACCCGUUAUUACGUUACAGAAAUGAGUAUCUUGGGGGCCUGUAAACUUCUUCUACGUGUAAGAGAACGUGGACGAAGAAUAAGAAGAAUAAGAAGAAGAAGAAGAA